rnacentral:rRNA from 1 species
AUGCGGAAGAGAUAAGUGCUGAAAGCAUCUAAGCACGAAACUUGCCCCGAGAUGAGUUCUCCCUGAGACUUUAGGUCUCCUGAAGGAACGUUGAAGACGACGACGUUGAUAGGCCGGGUGUGUAAGCGCAGCGAUGCGUUGAGCUAACCGGUACUAAUGAACCGUGAGGCUUAACCUUAC